ACACAAACAACUAGUUCUACUUAAAAGAACAAAGGCACACAAAUGCAACAGAGAGCCAGAGUAGACCCUAAUUCCUCUCUUAUCAUUUCCGCUUAACCACCGCCACUGGACCUCUUCUACUUAAGAGAAGGAUUCUCAGAAAACAUAAUCAUUUCGCUUUCCAAACGACGUUUAAUAACCACCUCAACCUCGAUUCUUGUAAGGACAAGGAUUCUCAUAAAAGAUAAUCAAAAGCCUUAAUAUCCUGCAAAUCAAGUUAUCAACUGGACUUCACACGGAACUUUUUUCAUACCCAGUGUGCGUGCGUUCCAACAGUUCCUUCCUACCGCGCCUUGGCUGGGAAACUGGGCCAACUUUCAAGCUAGCCUGAUUGCUCGCGGAUUUAUUCAGUUCAAGACAAUGAGGAACAGAGCCGAGUAUUCUCACAGAUAUUUCAUUCAAAGAUAUCUCUUCCGAGUGAUGAUUGAUUAUCAUCCAAGCGUUAGACACAGAAAUCCAAGGAUAUUACCGGACAGAGGUGAUGAAUUUGAUAGGAUUACAGGGCCGGAGUUUCAUAUCGAAGUGGGGGGUCUGCCGACGUCAAUCCGCCUUUUUUCCCCAGAGAGAUUGCGGAAAAGCUUUUGAUCAUAGCUGUUGCUGAUGCUGAUGUCAAAGUUUGGUUUUCAGGCUUCUCUAGCUUGAAAAUGGGGGGUUUGGCGAUUUUGAUAGUUGUAUGUGGUUUCUGUUGCUUUAGAUUAUGUUUGCGCCACUGCAGCUAGUGACAAGCAGAAGACAAUAUCUUUCCCUAGUGCCUCUCGUGUUCAUUGCUAGUAGAUGAAUCAUGGUUAUUCUUUGUUAGUUGAUUUUUUUUUCUCUUUUUUUCUGAGAAAGGUUUGCAUUGUAUUGAUACAAGUAGAGAAAAAAAAAUUACAACAUGAGACUAUAGCUGUACAACUCAGCCCAUAGCUUUACAAGACAAAAUUACAGCUUCGUGGAAUGAAGAACAGAUUUCCACUUUCCGUGGAAUUUUUUAUUUAUCUUUCCCUCUGCAAAGUACCUUUCUUGCUAUGGGUUUAACUGUUCAGGUUUAAAGUAUCUAGUCGGUGCAAUAUGGGAGUAUGCCUUGCUGUUUGGUGCAAAUGAUGGAAAG